UCCUUAUUGUCCUCCUCCAACUUUUGAAAAGCACAUUCACCUGGUAGUAGAAUGAUCAUGCGUGAGAAACUAUACAAUAGCAAAAAAUGUUCAAACAAUGCAAAAAAGUAACACUAUGUUCAUGUACAUAAUUGCACUACAUACAACUAGCUACAGGUACACAAUUAAUAGCAUAAAAAUAGAUACAACAUAAAAAAUACUAAAAUACCAAACACGACUAGUAGCUCUAUAGAUUUGCACAACAUAUACAACUAGCUUCAGAUACACUAUAUUCAUGUACAUACAUAACAGUUAGGUUUAUUCUAACAAAGAUAUUCAAGUGAUAUUAGAUAAAAAUGAACUAAAAGAGCUAAAAUAAGCAUGCAUUAUGAACAAAUAUCAUCUAACUAAUUAUAAAAAUCAUGGUACCGAGAGCUAACAAAUAUGUCAAACCAUUCUUAAUCGUAAACAUCAUCAAAACAUAAAUCGGAGGAGCAUCAUACAAUCUAUAAGAGAUGGACUCAGGGAUGGUAAGUAAGCAUCAGAUACAAGCAGUGUACAUCAACAAUAUGUAGAGACACAUGAGCUAGGUGUUAUCUUCAACAACCUAUAGGACCGACGAUCAGAAGGUUGAGCCCAAUUGUUUCCUGAAGAACACGAAGAUCCAUUGGGCAUUCCAAGCUUGGCCUGAUUUCUUCUUAUUCUCAAAAGUCUCCCAACCACCCCUGCAUGCAGGACAUUAUUAUGCACGAUUAUUAGAUAGAGUGAAGUAAACAUAUUUACACAUAGUUGACAGGAAGGAGGUACAUGAAUUAUAUAUGUUGCGGACUUACAAGCUGAAAAUGUUAUAAACAUUCAGUAGAGUAAACAUGACGAGCCUUGUGUUGGAUAGUAUUAUGCACUCUAAUGAUAAAAGUAAGUCCUAUGAACAAGGGGCCCGAGACUACCAAACUCAAAACAAGUAAUUGAGUACACAAAUCUGCCCUCUUAUGACUUAUGAACACAGCUUGAGCUAUUUGGAGUCAUGUACAUCCUCACUUUUACAUAUAAGGUAAAUGAAUGCCAUUUGUUUAAAAAAGGGGUAAAGGGUAGCACAGAAAAGAGAAUUUGGCCUCAAGUGCAUGAAAAUGACAGAACAAAGUUUGAGUGGUAUUUAAGUAAAAUAACAUAGUUUAGUGGUAUAGAGCUUAAAUCUGUAUAUUUCGGCAUGACAGCAGACCAAUAACUUUCCUAUAUAUAAAGCUUGGCAUGGAACCAAUAACUGUUCAUAUAAUUAAAGCUUGACAUAGAACCAACAGCCGUCCAUAUAAUAAAAGCUUGACAUAGAACCAACAUCCGUCCAUAUGAUUAAAGCUUGACAUAGAACCAACAAUUAUUUCUAGAUACAAAGAUCGACAUAGAACCAACAAUUCUUCUUAUAUAAGGAUUCAGAAAAUGGAACUUGAUUUACUGUAUUUAAUGCUGACUGCGCGUGCUUAACUUAGCUCGAGAGGAGUGGCAGCUAAAUUCAGAACCAUGACAGUAACAACAUUGCAGAGAGCUCCUAACACGGCCACAUCAAGUCCACCGAUAAUAACAGUGGUCCCUAUACAAUCAUCGAAGGCCAAGUUUACAUCAAGUUCGGCGGCGGC
rnacentral:lncRNA from 1 species